rnacentral:rRNA from 1 species
UACGUAGGGGGCGAGCGUUGUUCGGAAUUACUGGGCGUAAAGGGCGGUGUAGGCGGUGCGGUAAGUCGGACGUGAAAUCCUCCGGGCUCAACCCGGAGCGGUCGUUCGGAGACUGCCGUGCUCGAGUGUGGGAGAGGGAAGUGGAAUUCCCGGUGUAGCGGUGAAAUGCGUAGAUAGUCGGGAAGAACACCGGUGGCGAAGGCG